rnacentral:rRNA from 1 species
UACAGAGGGUGCGAGCGUUGUUCGGAAUUAUUGGGCGUAAAGCGCGUGUAGGCGGCGAUGCAAGUCGGGUGUGAAAGCCCUCAGCUUAACUGAGGAAGUGCGCCCGAAACUGCAUUGCUUGAGUACCGGAGAGGAUGGCGGAAUUCCCCAAGUAGAGGUGAAAUUCGUAGAUAUGGGGAGGAACACCGGUGGCGAAGGCGGCCAUCUGGACGGAUACUGACGCUGAGACGCGAAAGCAUGGGGAGCAAACAGG